rnacentral:rRNA from 1 species
UCAUUAGCGAGUUUUCAACUCCCAACCCUUGCGAACCGUACCCCGUUCUGUUCUCGUUGCUUCUGGCGGGAGGGGGGGGGCGCGUCCUUCGGGGCGCGCCUCUCUCUCCCAGGUCCCUUCGGGGCGCCCGCCAGCGGCCGCGAGCCGCCUGAACUUUUUUAAAACCGUAACGAAACGUCUGAGAAACAAACAAAAACAGCCAAAACUUUCAACAACGGAUCUCUUGGCUCUGGCAUCGAUGAAGAACGCAGCGAAAUGCGAUACGUAAUGCGAAUUGCAGAAUUCAGCGAGUCAUCGAAUCUUUGAACGCACAUUGCGCCCGCCAGCAUUCUGGCGGGCAUGCCUGUCCGAGCGUCAUUUCCCCCCUCAGCACGCCCUUUGGGUGCGCUGGCGUUGGGGCUCCUCCGCCCUCUGUGGCGGCAGGGCCCUCAAAUCCAGUGGCGGGCCCGUCUGGUUGGCUCCGAGCGCAGUACCGAACGCAAGUUCUCUCUCUCGCUCUGCAGCCCCGGCCGGCGCCCAGCCGUCAAGCCGCGCAGGCGACCCUCUCGAGGGCCGCCUCGCAUUUUUACAAGGUUGACCU